rnacentral:rRNA from 1 species
UACGUAGGGGGCAAGCGUUGUCCGGAUUUAUUGGGCGUAAAGAGCGUGUAGGCGGCUUGGUAGGUCCGCUGUGAAAACUCGAGGCUCAACCUCGAGAUGUCGGCGGAAACCACUUGGCUAGAGUCCGGAAGAGGAGAGUGGAAUUCCCGGUGUAGCGGUGAAAUGCGCAGAUAUCGGGAAGAACGCCUAUGGCGAAGGCAGCUCUCUGGGACGGUACUGACGCUGAGACGCGAAAGCGUGGGGAGCGAACAGG